UACGUAGGGUGCAAGCGUUGUCCGGAAUUAUUGGGCGUAAAGAGCUCGUAGGCGUCUGUUGCGUCGGGUGUGAAAUCUCGGGGCUUAACUCCGAAACUGCAUUCGAUACUGCCGUGCUUGAGGACUGGAGAGGAGACUGGAAUUCCUGGUGUAGCGGUGAAAUGCGCAGAUAUCAGGAAGAACACCCGUGGCGAAGGCGGCUCUCUGGAAACGCAACUGGACGCUGAGACGCGAAAGCCGUGGGGAGCAAACAGG
rnacentral:rRNA from 1 species